UGCCACCCUCAUUGUAUCUUGCAAAUUGAGGAACCUGAACUUUUUCUAGAAGCUCUGAGAUGUUCUCCCGGCACAGAGGAUUGACUACUGCACAGGGGGAGAAUGGGCACCGAUGGAAUUCACACUCUCUACAGGUAAUGAGAAACCAUUGGAAAGUUUAAAGUCAGGAAAUGACAUGAUUCAAUUUAAGAAGAUUAAACUUAAGAAGAUUAUUCUUAUGACUGUAUAGACAAUGGAUUGGAGAGGAACAAGAAUAAAUUUAGGAAGGCAGUGGGAGAUGAUCCAACUCUGGGAAAAAGAUAGGCCCUGAAGGGGAGAAGCAUUUGGGCCUCAACUUCCUGAAUGUUUGUCUCAUUAAAAGCAAACCCUCUCCCUG